AACGCACAUUGCGCCCCUUGGUAUUCCUUGGGGCAUGCCUGUUCGAGCGCCGUUAGCAUCCUAAAGCUUUGCUUUGUGUUGAGCAUUCCGAUUCGGAAGCUUCAAAUCCAGAUGCCAAUGACGGCUUGCGUGAAGCAGUGAAAGUGCUGACCGCAAAACGGCUGUGGCAAGUCAACGACCGCAUGGCCUCGAAUCAGGUAGGGCUACCCGCUGAACUUAA
rnacentral:misc_RNA from 1 species